GUAUCGUUGGCGGUCUUGUGUAAUCUUUGCUUGUUUCGUAAUAUUUUGUGGCUUCAUACGUUUUCUUGAUUGAUAAUUUCAAUUAAGUGUAGGGUGUUUUAUGUAUUUUACGUUCAUUGCUUCAUUACGUAUUAUUAUUGAGUAGUUGUGGGUGUGGAAACAAAUUUCCAUGUCUUCCAAAAUGUCCAUUACUAAGCCUUUGGAUGUCACGAUUAGAAUAUGGAUGGCUUCUUCUAAAUUAUGUGCGAUAUGUUGUUCAGAAUUUAAGCAGUAGAAGGAAAUAGAAGGAUUGUUGUCGGUGUACUUAAUGUGUUCGGAGUAUCUAAUACUGAAGUUUCAGUCAUCUGACCUACGCAGAAUUUAUCGCAAACCUUGCAUUGGAUUUUGUACAUGUCUCGGUUCCAAUAAAUAGUAACUUCUCUACAAUUUUGGUCAUUACUUCUUGGAUGGAAAUGUCAGUAAGAAGAUUUGUGAUGGGACGAAUUUCCCAUUUUACGCUAUUUUGUGCCAAGGAUCCUGAGCUUUUAUUGGUUACUUCUUCAUGGUGUUAAACACAUGUUCCUGCAAAACGAUGCGCUUCAAGUACAUAUUAAGUGUCGACAGACUCAUAUAUUACCUUCAAAGCCACCUCAGCAAGGAAAGGAGCCUCCAGCAAAGAUUCCCCGUGAAUCGUUUGAUAUUAAAACCUUAUGCUUUCAUUGUGGUCUCAAGCUUGUAGGUGUAUAUAAAUGCAGGUACCUAACUCAGGAAAAGUGGAGUUUAGUACAGAAACUUGAACUAAAUGAAAGCAUCCGAAGGGAAGCAAAUAACAGACACGACAAGUGAGGAGAAAAGGUAGGUAAGUGUGAGGCUCUCUCAGGUCAUAGGCCUCAUCAGUUCUGAUUGGAGAUCCAAAUGGCAUUGUUAUCAGACAUUUCAAAAGCCAGGGUCAUAACCGCCCAGAAAAGGAGCAGCAACAACCCAAUGUAGGUUAAGUGCUGAUGCCAAAGAGAAGACGCUUUUGAAAAGCUGUGUGAUCAUUUGGAGGAAAAUGAUGAAUGUCAGUAUGCUUUUGAAGAAUCACGAAAUAUGUUCCUUCAACAGACUCCAGAAUUCGAAUCAUAUACAGACAUACCUUUGAAAAGAAAACUUAUCCAGCGCUAUGGUAAUAGCUUGAAUUUUGCAGUUUCACCAGAGAAAAAAGUAUGAUUUGUUUUUCUGGAGCAGCUGCUAAUAUUUCAUCAGACAAUUAGUGUACAAAUCGGAACUCUGAUUACGAAGCUCAGGAGGAACUGAGAGUGAUCAAAACUGGAGCAGAUAUUAAUCGAAGUGAGAUCAAAUUCAAAAACUUUUUCACUAUCGGUAUUUCAGUUACCAACAAUUUGAAGAAAUUUGUAAAGCAGGACCUGAUCUGGUGCCUGGGCUGAAAUCAUACAGCCUACUUCUAAAAGACAAACACCCGAGAAAAUUCAAAGGACGAAACAAAUUACUGAAAGAACAAAAAUCUUCACUAUGUCAGAGUAUAAUAAGUGCUGCACGUCCAAAAUCAUUUCUGUCUCUCAUCCUACUUGGAACUGGUAUUUCAUUGCACAUAAAAGUUGGUUCAAAGGUCUUGAUCGACACCCUGUGCUAUUUGAGUGUUUGUGUGCCUUACCAGUACAAGGAAGUUUUAAAAUAUGAGAGAUCGGUCACUACCCAAGAGAGCACUACAAUUGAGAAAGAAUACCUGCAAUUUGUUUUCGAUAAUGCAGACUGCAACACCUACACUGUGGAUGACCAUAACACGUUUCGUGUCAUGGGUGAAACUGCUAGUAUAACAGCUGAAAGCGCUCUUCAGAUAGAGGACAAUGUACCUUAAAAGAAUAAAAGAAUGUUGCUGCUCACACUAUUGAAAAACGUGACAUUUAUGAUUUUCAAAUUUACGGAGCCCCAAAUACAUCUGCCUAUUUGAAAAUAAAUGCUACAAAAACGGGUUCCCUGAAAAUUAAAAACCACUGUCAUAUGAAUAUGACCGAACAUGUACAUUGUUUUGGUUGAGUGGUACCUGUCUGGAAGACACAGAAGAAUGUAAACCUUGUUGGAGUGGCUGCAUGAAAAUGGUGUAUGCAACGAAAGAGUUUCAAAUUUCCGUUGUAGUCCCUCUUCCAUUCAUCAGAUUGGCUCCUUCAAGCUGCCACAAAAGGGACUAGCAAUGGACAAAGCAUAACAAUGGUAACUUUAGAACAGCGUUUGUUAGCCAAAGCUAGUGAAACAGUAGCAGCAGCACCUGGUGAUAGCCUAUUGAAGCUACUCUUCAUCCGACUAGAAGGUUUUCACUUGUUAAUGUCCUCUUUGUCACCGAUUACAUUCAUCAUGACAGGAAGUUGCUUCGAGGAGUUGUACAGUACUGUGUAUGCUAGGAAAAUUGUACAACAAAUGAUGAACGGCAUAGCUUAUUUCAGAGUCAUUCGUGGCCUCUAUCUACAUCAAGGAGGCACUCAUUACUGUAUUUUCGAAAAAUAGUGAAGCUCUCAUUAGUGUAGAUAAAGAUGAGAUUAAUUUUGUCUAUUCAACUUUGAAGUGUGGUAAUGCAUCCUCUGGAGAGAUUACGCAGUUAGAUGCCGUGAAGAGCUUUGUAGAAAUUUUGGAAAUCCAACUUCAACGUUCAAAAGAAACAGGAUGAACACAAAAACUGUGGACUGACUUCGUAGAAAAUGAUUGAGCUUUAUCGGAUGUUUAUUAGAGCUGAGAGGAGUGGUGUCUUUCUCCUUCAUCUUCACUGUGUCCACCAAAUGCUUCCCAUUUUUCUUGCGACUGGUCACUUAAACUACGCUAAAUCUGCACAUGUUUAUCUUCAAGACUCGCUGGAACUUCUGAACUGAGUGAGUCUGGAAAACCAUUUGUUCGUUAAUUGUGGUUAUUUCACCAUCCGAAAUACAGAACAUUUUUGAUCUGGACUCUGGAGUGACUUUCCCAUUGAACAGCUUUUGAUGAGACCCUUGAGUAGCAUUGGUGGAUUGACUGGAGGCAGAGAAAUAAUAGUGACAACUAUUGCAACUUGGGUCAACUCCAUGCCAGCUUGUUCUCGGCUGUGUGAGGAAUGGAAGAAAUUUCUUGGCUUGAGGAACACAAUCCGUUUACUAAAACACCUGAACUCUCUCCCUUAGCAGAUGAAAACGUGAACCGUGAUAAAGCAUCUGAUGUUGGAACACUAGCCUUGAAAGAGAUUGAGAACAAUACAUUCAGUGCGAUACACUUGAAAAGAAAGUUAGCUGUUAAGUCUCUAGCCUCUAUAGCCAAAUCUGUGACAAUUGACAACAACACUGUAUGUGUGACCCCUAACACACUCUUACAUCGGAUGGUGUGCACAGUAAGGAGUGAUGAGUAACUGGAACAAAUAUUUCAAUUUGAAUUACGUGAUUAUUCUCCAUCGUUCUUCAACGAAUCUGGCUUGAUGAGGAAGGGAAGCCAAUCUUCAAUGGUGAUUGUGUUGUUUCCAGAUUCAAACGAAUCAUCUAUCACCCCAGAUUCAGAGAAAGUGCUCUGCAUACAUCAUUGAUAUAGGUCUUCUUCAUCUUGUUGUCUCAGAACGCACAGCUACUUUCAGACAAAUUUGAAGCAAUACUCAGAUAGAUAAUUACACAUUAUAGGCCAGCAACUGUUAUUUUUGAUGGAUAUGAGCAAGGAAGCACAAAUGAUGAAGAACACUUACGCAGAUUACGUUCUACCACUAACAUUGAAGUGAAAUCAGAAGAGACAGUCCAUGUAAAUAUCAAUAAAAGUGAAUUUCUUCCAAACGCUAUAAUUAAAAUAGACCUUAUUUCUCUCCUUACAGUGAACUUGCAAAGAGACAGUUGUACAGGGCAUCAAGCAUCGGGUGACGCUUACUUAAUAAUAGUUUUCAUACCGAUUCAUGAAGCUAAAAAAGGAGUUGAAGCUUGUGUAAUUUGUGAUGACACGGACUUACUGGUCUUGUUGACUGUCCACUCACUCACAGAACAAAUUGAAAAUUGUGGUACCAAAGAGAGGGAAUCAGCAGGUAAAAGUGUAUACUGUAUCUGAUUUGCAGCGUGGGUGGCACUGGGGAUAUGGAAGGUGUACGCUCAGCUGUAUACGCCUCCACAGGAUGUAACACUGUAUCAGCUAUCUACAAGAACAGGAAAAAUACAGUGUAUAGAAAAUUGCAAGCCAACAACGCUCUUCUUACGAAACUUUUAGUCUUCAACGACUCUAAAGCUGACUGCAAUGCAGUGGCUAACUCUGGAAGGUAUUUCCUUCUUGCAAUGUUUGGAGCCAAGAACACUGAUUAUCUAGAUUGUUUUCGAUACAAGUGUUACUUGUAGUCAAUUGCAAAGCAGCCCAUACAUUCAUUGUUAAGGUUGGCUGCACUUCCCCCAGUGUUAAGCAGCUUCAAGGCAGUGUUCAUUUACAACCUAUCACCAGGUGCAGCAGUGGCUGAAUGGGAAGAAGAAUCCGCUCGAGUGGGGGUGGAAGAUGAUUGGCGAAGACCUGAGACCAAUUACAACAGUGCAUCCAGCAGCCCUCCCCCCCCCUCCAGGAUUUACUUUCCCCCAUAAUGUGCGCUUGCAAAAGAGGAUGGGUCCGUAACUGUGAGUGCAGAAAAAGUGGUCUAAACAGCUUAAGCAUACGCAAUAAUUUCUCAGGCCUAGGAUGUGAUAACAGGGACACGAACAGCAUACACGAAGAUCUAGAUGAGUAGGCUGCUACGGCUGAAGACGACUGAGUACUGAUGAAUACUUUACACUUAUUUAAGGUUGCAUUUAAUAGUCUACAUUUUUAUUCAUUAUCCCUAUUGAACUCAGUUUAUGAAUUCCAAAAAUUUUAAUGAAACUUGGUUGCUAUAUACAGUCAAAUAUGCCUACUUUCUAAAGAGAACCCUCCAAUCGCUGCAGUUUUAAAAAUAUUAUGAUUAAAGUGAUGCUGUUAUAAAUGGUAAUUAUUA